rnacentral:misc_RNA from 1 species
UCCGAUUUCUCGAUCCGUCGCUCACUUUCAAGCCCAGGUAAGGUUCCUCGCGUAUCAUCGAAUUAAACCACAUGCUCCUCCGCUUGUGCGGGCCCCCGUCAAUUCCUUUGAGUUUCAACCUUGCGGUCGUACUCCCCAGGUGGAUUACUUAACGCUUUCGCUUUGCCGCUGAGCGGUCUAUCGCCAACAGCUAGUAAUCAUCGUUUAGGGCGUGGACUAC